GCAUGCGCGCUGCGAAUAUCGAUGACCUUGAAUGCACAUUCACAUUCGCUGCGCGCAUGCGCACUGCGAAUAUCGAUGACCUUGAAUGCACAUUCGCGCGCGGGAAAACUACGCGGCGAGGAAGGGUCACCGCAGCGUUAAGCUCUCGGACACGACCCGGACCAGAAAUGCAGCCCGAUGGCGCCGGGGAGCAAGACGGCACCUUCACCAGCCCGCCUGGUAGUGGUGAAGCAUCGCCCGAGCGGUCGCGGUCACCGCAGCGUUAAGCUCUCGGACACGACCCGGACCAGAAAUGCAGCCCGAUGGCGCCGGGGAGCAAGACGGCACCUCCACCAGCCCGCCUGGUAGUUGUGAAGCAUCGCCCGAGCGGUCGCGGUGAGGACUGUCUCAACUGUCACCUGGGAAGGGAUCAUGUUAAAGGUUGUUUAUGCUUAAUUUUUUCAUGUCUAAUGUUUCGACUAGAUUGUAAUGUUAGCUUGUUUCUAUGUGCGUUUAAUCGUCUAACUCUAGGCUGAGGAAAAAAGACUACGUGCUUUCGAAAGCUACCGUAAGUAAAAAAGUAUC